rnacentral:tRNA from 1 species
GGGCCUAUAGCUCAAUUUGGUUAGAGCAGAGAACUCAUAAUUCUAAGGUUACGUGUUCGAGUCACGUUGGGCCCACCA